rnacentral:rRNA from 1 species
UACGAAGGGUGCAAGCGUUAAUCGGAAUUACUGGGCGUAAAGGGUGCGUAGGCGGUUCGUUAAGUCUGUCGUGAAAGCCCCGGGCUCAACCUGGGAAUUGCAUUUGAGACUGAAUAGCUAGGGUGCGGAAGAGGGAGGCGGAAUUUCCGGUGUAGCGGUGAAAUGCGUAGAUAUCGGAAGGAACACCAGUGGCGAAAGCGGCUUCCUGGUCCAGCACCGACGUUCAGGCACGAAAGCGUGGGGAGCAAACAGG